UACGUAGGGUGCGAGCGUUGCCCGGAAUUAUUGGGCGUAAAGGGCUCGUAGGCGGUCUGUUGCGUCGGGCGUGAAAACUCAGGGCUUAACCCUGAGCCUGCUUCCGAUACGGGCAGACUAGAGGUAUGCAGGGGAGAACGGAAUUCCUGGUGUAGCGGUGAAAUGCGCAGAUAUCAGGAGGAACACCGGUGGCGAAGGCGGUUCUCUGGGCAUUACCUGACGCUGAGGAGCGAAAGUGUGGGGAGCGAACAGG
rnacentral:rRNA from 1 species